ensembl:lncRNA FOXP4-AS1 FOXP4 antisense RNA 1
ACCAUAAUUCGCCUAAAGCAGGUGCAGCAACUUUCACCCCGCCUGGCAGCCCGCUGAGAGCGAGAGAAAACCACGUGCACCAAACUUUAGGGGAGGAAAAAUGGGAACGUGGGGAGAAGACGUGAGGCGGCAGAUCUGAAAAAGAUGGUAGGUGGAGGGACCCCAGGGAUUCACCCUGGCCUCGGACUAAUCCUAUGGGGCGCUUGCAAACCCCGGCCAUCCCCUGGAGUCUGAAGGUCAUUCCGGACUCCUGACGCCGCCAGUCCCGCGGUGAGACGUGAGCGCCAUUGGCGUCCGUGGCCUCUGUUUCCGUGGCAACCUAGUAACCAUUAAUUUUCAAUUAAAGGAGACAAAAAGCUCGAUGACAGCUCCAGGUCUGCUGAAGAUGUCAAGAAUCUGUAUUAAUAUACAGCAAGAGAGCAUAAUUGUGUGUCCAUCUUCCAGAGCAGCGAAAAAUGGAGGGAUAAUUACCAGCUCGAAAGCCACUCUGUAAUUUAGUUCUUACUGUCACCACAGCCCUACACAUUAGCAUAAAUUAAAAGCAGAGUUUAUUGUUAUCAAAGUGCAUUGAUA